CUUAAUCUUAUCUAACCUGGAGAGCCCGCACAUCCACCUGAGCAUCCUCAUCUCCACGACCUUCAUUCUCUGAACAUGGGAGUUCUUCACUGGCCAAGACUCCGCCCCAUACAACAUGGCAGGUCUAACCAAAGCUCUAUAAAAUUUCCCCUUGAGUUUCUGUGGAACUUUCUUGUCACACAGGACUCCUGAUGCAAGCCUCCACUUUGACCACCCCGCUCCUAUACGAUGAGUGGCGUCCCCAUCAAUCUUGUCGUCCCCCUGAAUCACCGACCCAAGAUAUAUGACACUGUCCCUCUUGGCGAUGACCUGAGAUCCAAUCAUCACUUCCCUGCUUACGUC
rnacentral:lncRNA from 1 species